rnacentral:rRNA from 1 species
UACGUAGGGUGCGAGCGUUGUCCGGAAUUAUUGGGCGUAAAGAGCUCGUAGGCGGCUUGUCACGUCGGGUGCGAAAGCCCGGGGCUUAACCCCGGGUCUGCGUUCGAUACGGGCUAGCUAGAGUGUGGUAGGGGAGAUCGGAAUUCCUGGUGUAGCGGUGAAAUGCGCAGAUAUCAGGAGGAACACCGGUGGCGAAGGCGGAUCUCUGGGCCAUUACUGACGCUGAGGAGCGAAAGCGUGGGGAGCGAACAGG